CCUUAGCCAAAAAAAUAAGAGCACUCCUGCCCCAGUCCUCGCCGCCGGCGUCCAUGUCGUCGUUUCUCCACCGUCUCCCCCUCGUCCACACCCAAACCCCGACGCGGCGGAGGCGGCGCCAGAGCGCGAGACGGAGCGAGGCGAGUGGUCUCUCCACUCACCCACUCAGCUCUUGCGGCUCGCCUUUCCCCUCCCCUCCCCCGCGAGCCUGACGACCGGCUCAAAAUAGGAAAUGCGCUCGUCUCGGUCGGUCGGGCCGUCGGACCGCGUGGCCGCUGCACAUGACAAGCUGGAAGAAACAGGUACUGGAUGAGCAUCUCCUGGUUCAAGUUGCAGAAUCAAUGUCUUUGAUAUUGUCAGAAUCAGCCAUAUUCCAGAUUCUCCAUAUCAUUUAAAUUCUGGCUGCGAGCAGAAAUUUCACCCUUGAUGAUACAAAUGGGCAUUUGGAGAUAGGCGCUAUCACCUGGAGCUUGCAUUCAAGCUGUACCUGCAAGAAUACUACAUCCAGCUGCCUCGUCUCUCCACAUAAACAUCCAUAUCAGGUAAUCCGCAGCAUGAUGAAGAAUCCACGCAGAUUUUAUAUUUUCAGCUGGGAAUAAAAGGUGAGGACAACUGGCUGCUACAUUUUGUACCCUUUAAUUCCGCAUAAACUUCGGAAUAAGUGCUCCGUACUGUGCCAAAGCUUUUCUUUCACCUUUUCUAGUUAGCAUACAUGUCAACAUACGUGCAAGACAACAUUAGGCCUAUUAGUAUACAAAGAGCUUUGCAGAAGACAAGUUAUAUCUCGAAAAUUUCUACCCAAUCCCUUCAUACAAAGAAGGACCUUAAAGAAAGCAUGAUGUAUAAGGGUACCAUCAGUUUUGCAGAAAACAUAACUGUAUGUAGUACCAAGAGCUUGAGGAAAAAACAUUUAGGGAAACCGGCUAAGAGCAGGACCCUUAACCUAGUAUCUCUGUUAGUUAAGUGGUAUAAAUUAGAAUUUCUGAAGAAAUUUGUCGACCAAAGAGGGGGGCCACGGAUACCUUUGGCAUCAAGGAAGCUCUGCCCGUGGUACGAACCCGUUGUUGACAUUUGGAUAACUAGUCUGCACGUGUACUGAUACAAAAUUUCUUGGAGACAUGCUAAUGUACGGUGAGAUCACAACUAGCUUUUUUUAACGGAAUAUGCUCUAACAUAUCACAAUCUUGUUGGAAUAAAGGUACAGUGUUGCACAUCAGAUGGGCAUCUCCACCAGGACCUUGCUAGCAGAAAGGCAGAAGAUCAACUUUAAAUUGCUGAAAGUUCUCGCAUGACAAUCACAAGGGAAAGGCACCAAGGAAUUUCCCCGCACCGCAAACUACCUACACCUGACUUUCGUGGAUGAACUCUCGCCAUGCAUGCCAGGCCUCUCCGCUGCGGCGCUGCCUAUGGUCCCUAUGGUCCCUCUGAACUGUUUGAGGACCAGCUAGAAACAGCGCUAAAGUUCAUCUAAUCCAGGUCAGAGCUGAAUCUAUUCUAGUGGAGUGCAGUCUUAUCAUUUGGCAAUCCUGCAUCUACAAAUUGCUGAUACAGCUUGCAGCAUAUAUACUGUUCGUCAUGACGAGCUACAGUACCGGCAUGGCAGGCUGCAGUAGCAAAAUGGGCCAAGAACAGGAAAACAGAGUAAGUCAGUCCCAUAGUUGGCAAAGGGGUGGCGGCUUGCUGAUUGGUGGGUCCAGAGUCCAGAGACUGGGUCGGUAUGGAUUGCACUCUGUUAUGUAGAACGACAAUGACAAGUGGGCCUAAUAGUGGAGGAAUCAGAGUGAUGUACUUUAUGUUCUCGAGUAACAAAAAGUGACCGUUAUUCUCUCCAAUCGCUUAUCUCUUUUGCGUUCUCCCUUCCCCCUUUUUUCGUGCUGUGACGGCGAUCAUAUCUUAGGUGACGGGGACAUAACAUUGUUGCAGCAGCUUGUGCUGACUCCUGUGCAAGAUUUUCACCAUCUAAGAGCUUACAGCAAUCCCAGGUCAAUUAAUCCAGUGUGAAGACCAGAACAGUGUGAUAACACGCAGCAGCAAGAAUGGGUUGGUCAGAGCAAUUCAGGAAUCUGGUUAUCAAUACUGCUGUAUAUUUACUUAUCUUUCACCAGAGUAAAAAGGCAAGCCUAGCCGUUGAUUGGAUAUUUUGGAUGGAUCAGCGGUUCAGAGUGAAGGGAUUACUAUACACAUUCAUCUGCAGCUGUCAUAGAUGGAUGGGGUUCAAACAUGGACUCAGAUCUUCUUGACGGGUUUGAAUGAGGGAUGGGAUGAGAACAAGAGCUAAUUUGGACAAGAGGCCAACAUUUUCUACUAGCAUACACACCGCUAGCGUCCAUCUUAAUCCUAUUUCAGGGCCCUAGUUUUUGAAACUUCUGUGUAUCAUAUUUCAGGGCCCUGGUUUUUGAAACGCCUUAUAUUUUCUUGAAAUAGUGUUGCUAAAUCUCAGUCGACCGAGACUUGGUUAUGUCUCAAUCGAUGCUAUAUUCGUGAGAUAUUGCAUGGAGAUUCGUGCAAAAAUUUAAUUUUAGUUUUCCUUUUUCCUUAUAUGUUAUGUAUAGCCAUACAGUUUGUAAAAUGAACCCUGCUAUACAAACGAAAGUACAUA